AUUGAACGCUGGCGGCAGGCUUAACACAUGCAAGUCGAGCGGGGUGAUGGUGCUUGCACUAUCACUUAGCGGCGGACGGGUGAGUAAUGCUUAGGAAUCUGCCUAUUAGUGGGGGACAACAUCUCGAAAGGGAUGCUUAUACCGCAUACGUCCUACGGGAGAAAGCAGGGGAUCACUUGUGACCUUGCGCUAAUCGAUGAGCCUAAGUCGGAUUAGCUAGUUGGUGGGGUAAAGGCCUACCAAGGCGACGAUCUGUAGCGGGUCUGAGAGGAUGAUCCGCCACACUGGGACUGAGAAACGGCCCAGACUCCUACGGGAGGCAGCAGUGGGGAAUAUUGGACAAUGGGGGGAACCCUGAUCCAGCCAUGCCGCGUGUGUGAAGAAGGCCUUAUGGUUGUAAAGCACUUUAAGCGAGGAGGAGGCUCUUUUGGUUAAUACCCAAGAUGAGUGGACGUUACUCGCAGAAUAAGCACCGGCUAACUCUGUGCCAGCCGCCGCCGUAA
rnacentral:rRNA from 1 species